UCAAUUGGUAAAAUAAGGGUAUUAACUACUACGAAAUCUGCACGAUCUCAAGCCGCACUCUAAGACGCAAACUAAGACAUCCAACGCGGAUGUCAAUUAUUCAUAUACUCAUAGACAGGGAGUAUAAAGUAUAAUAAAUAUAUUACUAGGAAGAUCAAGGACAGUCUUUAGUAAGGUAUAGCAAACAAGUAACCGAGGCGUGGUCGGGCCUAUUGUAUAUAAAUCAGAGCACUCGCUAAACAGAUAUCACUUGUAAAAGCUCUUCCAAGCAACUCAAUAACCAUGCUCUUCAGACUGUUCGCUUUCCUCGCUCUGGUCGCCGUGGCUUUCGCCAGCCCCGAACCUAAGCCUGAUCCUCAAGUCGUGGCCUACGGCGCUGGAUUUGUACCAGCUACCUACCCUUACUAUGCCGGUUACGCCGCUGCCGCUCCCUACGCCGCCUUCCCUUAUGCCUACAACAGAUAUUUCUACCGCUAAGCUAACAUAAGGUCACGUUAAUUGGGUAUCUUAAAAAUUAUUGUAAAAAUUAUUUUAAUUUUGUACAAGAAAUUUAAAAUACCCAUGUUGUGUGACAUUUACCGACUUUACGCUAGAUCAAUGAUAUAGAUAUGCCUACUGUUUAAAUAAAAAUUUUAUGCAUA